rnacentral:rRNA from 1 species
AGUGAACGCUGGCGGUAGGCCUAACACAUGCAAGUCGAACGGCAGCACAGUAAGAGCUUGCUCUUACGGGUGGCGAGUGGCGGACGGGUGAGGAAUACAUCGGAAUCUACUUUUUCGUGGGGGAUAACGUAGGGAAACUUACGCUAAUACCGCAUACGACCUACGGGUGAAAGCAGGGGAUCUUCGGACCUUGCGCGAUUGAAUGAGCCGAUGUCGGAUUAGCUAGUUGGCGGGGUAAAGGCCCACCAAGGCGACGAUCCGUAGCUGGUCUGAGAGGAUGAUCAGCCACAUGGGAACUGAGACACGGCCCAAAACCCUACGGGAGGCAGCAGUGGGGAAUAUUGGACAAGGGGCGCAAGCCUGACCCAGCCAUCCCGGGUGGGUGAAGAAGGCCUUCGGGUUGUAAAGCCCUUUUGUUGGGAAAAAAAAGCAGCAGGUUAAUCCCCCGCUUUUCUGAAGGCACCCAAAAAAAAAGCACCGGCAAACUUCUU